GGAGGAAGGAGUGGACCGAGGAAGGAAGGAGGAAGGAGCGGCUCUCCGUCCAUCCGUCCGUCUGUC
rnacentral:miRNA from 1 species